CUGGGGUGAUAGUCAGUCACACAAGCCGGGCUCCAGGAGACCGAUCAUUACCAGGUAUAAAGUGCCCGGGAGUACCAGUAAAUAGAGGCCAACAAACCAACUCAAAGGGGUUGUUCACAGAUCUGUUGCAAGUCCUAGAAAGGAUGUGAAAGAACCAAUUUUCAUUUUCAAAAAAGAAAAAGCAUCAAGUGAUAAUAAAAAAUGACGGGAAGGAUCAAAUUGUCAUUUAGUUCUCCCGUCAAUGAAGAGCCAGAUAGGAAUUUGAUCAUUGGAUCGUUGGAACAGCGGAAGGAGGCUUUUAAAGAGGAUGAAGAACUUAUGAAGGAAACGGAGAAGUUCGUUACAGAAGUAAUUGAAACAGCUGCCUCCGAAGCUUCUAAGAGGAAAUUUGAAAAACAGAAUGCCAGUGAAAGUGAAGGCAGUAGAUUGAAGGGCAACGAUACCCUAGGCGGCUGGAACAACCGUGCCCGCGGCUUCUGCAAUCGAGUCCUGAAUGCAAUCUUUCCGUGCUUCACUAACAAUGAACUGUUUGCCUGGACGCCCUACCGGUAUCGCUUCACGAGACCUUAGCCGACUUCCGGAAGUUCCGUUCAGACGAAAUGAUCGUUUGACACUGUGAUCAUUAGGCUGAUCAGCGCCAGGUCAGGGCCAGGAAUUAUCAUCAACAGAUCAGGCAAUAAUGACAAUGAAAAUGUUAAAAAUAUGAUUUAAUAAAACAAUAAAUGUAUUCGGUGCAACAUACCAUGUCAAUUCAAUUAAACUAUUUUAAAAAGAAAUGGUAGUUUUCCGCAGGUGGUUUUACAAAUAUAUGAUACAAUGAACGUGAUCGGGUUUCUAAACGAACUUUAGUCACUAGGCCAUUGGCGUGUUCGUAAUAAAAUGAAUAAAAAUAAAUAUUUAUAAAUUUAGGCGAAAAUACAGUAUCUAUAAUAAGAAUAUCAUAAUUAAUAUUUAAAUAUAAAGUCCAUACGACAAUUUCACGCUCCAAAUGUCACUGUGAUUAAAUGCUGAAACAAAACAAUAUGUCAUUUCAAUGAUCGAAAAUUCGGAUUCUGCUGGUUCAGAGUCGUUUUUUACGAAUCAUAUUGAAAAUUAUAUAUUGUAAACGAUAUCUAUAAUUUGUAUUCAUAGAGGAAUAUAACAAAUUUCAGAUUGCCUCGAAAUUGUAUGGUAUAGGAAUUUGAAGGCAUACAUAUUUUAUGUGUGUUUAAUUUUGCUAAAUUAAUAUUUUAAAAAAUGGGUUUAAAUGUAUUUAAUUGAGAAAACUUGUAUUGCGAGUUUCCCUGUGUAGCUUUCCAUUUAAGAAAUUGUAAGUUUAAUGACUAUGUUUAUUGCGGAGAAUUGCUUUUUACUAAAAGGUGACGCUUAGCCUUAUGUAAUUGCUGCUGAAAUAUUGAUUAAUAAAUGGAGCUUUUAAGGACCACAUAUAUAUCUAUAUACACAUUGCACGUCCAUUGUGACUCUUUUUUAUCAACAAAAUGCAUUAUUUUCUUCAUAAGUGCUUCAUGAAUUAUGAUUAUAUUUAUAAUUAUUAUUAUGAUUAUGAUUUCCUGAACGCGUACAUCUAACGAAGAGAGUUUUCUCUAGCGAAGACCGAAUAGCAGCUGAAAGAGAAUCAAUAAAUUUCAAGCUUUAGUCACGAAUGUGUACUGCGGCACUCUUGGUGUCCUAUUUUCGUGAUUUACGUUAGUAGCGUGCAACUUUAGUUUGCAUAAAUACACCACCUUAUAGUUCCAUACGUGAUUGGCCGAUAAUGCUAGGCGUGGUUCUUGAUAUAAGCAAUAUCAUAUAUUCUAGGGCAUUAAACUACACUCAAUUAUUGAUUUCACUUAUAACUGAGUAUAUUCAAUCCUAUGAGAAAAAAAAACUUAAGACGUUUAGAAAACAAACAAAGCCAUGUGGAAAAAUCUUCUGGCGCUGGUUUGGCCCAGUGCAGACGAGACUGUUUAGUUUCCAGUCUUGAUGCUGAACUAAUGGUCUGGUCUAGGUCUUGCCAAAAGUGUUAUUUUUUUAUCUAGCUUUUUCUUGCCCUAGACCGGACUCUCUGACCAGCCGCUAGUUAUUGGCUGGUCAGCUAUUAGUUUAAGGGUGGUCAGCCGCUAGCUGCACUCUCUUUAUUUCUAUUUAAUGACAUGGAAAAAAUAAUUUUCUCCCUGUAAGUGUAUUUUCUUUAUCAGCACCAAAUAUGCGAAUGUCUUAUUUUCUAGUAUUUUAGACACCCUGUAACUUUGUCGAAAUAUGCAAACAAAUUGCUCAUCCAAUUUAGAACUUUUUUUAUUUUCAAACAGAGCAUCAGCACCAGAUCUGGGACAGAUCAGAAUGUCCGAGUGACAAAAAAUUCUUGUUUUGUUAUUGUAAAUUUCUCAUUUUCUAUCAGCUGAGUCGCCUUGACUGGCCAGACAAGUCCUUUCAGACUAGACGGUAUAGAUAAAGUCAGAACUAGGCAAUACUAGCGCUAGACCCGGGCCAGAUCAGAUUUACCAACCAGACUAGACAGCCCAUAGAUAAAACCAGAAGUAGACCAGACUUGACACCAGCCAGCCAUGCAAUUUUUCCACAUGGGAACUUACACUACAUUAGGGCAUUAUUUCUUAUUUACAUAAGCAUACCAAGGCAAAAAAUUGUUGUAUCUUGCUUGGUAUUGCCCGUGUUCGAGAUAUUUUUGUUGUAAAGAAUGUUUGUUUUGCAAUUGUUUAAUCUUAUCCCGUCCCGACUUGAAUAUGCAAGCGAGAUCUCGGACAAAAUUCUCGAUAAUCUUUACAGUUUGAGUUUGAAAUUUUACUUAAAUUUUAAAAAUGGUGUGAACAGAAUUUGAAAAAUAUGGGAGUAGAAUCAAAACGAACAAGAAGGCCAAAAAAGCCAUCUUCAGUUCGAGCUCAGCAAACUGAUGAUUUGAUCAAAAUCUAAGGUAUUUGAAUGAGAUUAAAAUCAAAUUUAAAAUCUUAUUUCAGAAAUUCUUCACAUUGAUGAUUUGAUAUUAAAUCAAGUAAUUCAAUAAAAUAAUUUUUCAAGACAUAACUAAUAAACCUAAGUCUAAAGUGAAUAUUCCGAUUACCUCAUAAUCACUCAAACAAGAAAACGAAUGUACAAUUUUUUUAGACAGAAAUUAUUUGCAUGUUAUGCUCUAAAAGGCCCUGACAAUUAAAAAACAAUGCGUUUGCCCUCCCCCAAGCAUUUUCUAAAGCCACAAACUUUUGUAAUUUUCAGUAUAUUUUCUAUCAUAUAGUAUAGAAGUGAUAUUAUUUUUGCUCCUUAUCCAAUUGUCCUUCUCAUAUCUUCUUAAAUUCUUUAAUACUAGAUCAAACAUUUUUCAAAAUUUGUGUGUAUACAAAAUUAUAUAUGUUUUGCAUAUUUAACAGACCCAAAAAAGUCCUUAUUAUAUUUUCGUGGUGUUGUAAAAAAUAAGCAGUUUUUUAAAUUUAUGGGAUGGAAAGCUGGGUAAUAAUCAUUUUGUUUCUCCCCUUCCCACUUAAAAACCCAAUUCUCCUAAUAUUGUAUUAUUCCGACAAUUGACGCCGCACCACGGGCAUGGAUGAGAGGAGCUGUGGGGGAUGUGCGGCGUUCAGUCAGACGUGAAAAUAUAGAGAGAAAAACAGGAGAGAGACAAAAACAGUUCGGAGUCCCUGUAUUGUAUUCCACCUUUAGUCCUAAAACCAGAAUACAAUUCAGGUUUCACUGUAUUGUUUUGACGCGAUCGAAGUUUCCGAUGGUGUUCUUUGGACUUUUUUUGAUUUUAUUUGAUUCCACUUCCAUAUUUUCAAAGUUGUACUGCAUUAUUUAUUAUAUUUACGUGAAAUGUUAAACUGCAAACGUUAUCGGAAAUGUUGCGUCUCACUCGUUUUACGCGAUUUUCGACUAAAAUCAAGAUAUGCGGGACAACUUCUCGCUGUCUUCAAUCUGGAUAAUUCCCAAAAUCGAUGUUUUCUUGUCUCGUCUAGCUCGAAUGCGCAUUUGUGCGGGUCACGUAAAAAAUCAAAGUUGUCCGAUCAAAGUAAAACUUAAAGAAAGUUUUGUGCUAUUUGACAGUAAUGAAAGGGUAAAAUUUUGUCAUUUGGACAAAAAUUUACCAAGCGAGAGGGGCUAAAACUUUUAUGAUUUUCAUGGAUAUCGUCUAUUUAGCGCUUAUUGUCAGAAAUAAACAAUGAAAAUUCAAUUUUUCAGCGCUUAAGCUCUUAAAAAGAAACAGAAGCUUUCUUUUUAGAAAGGGUUCAAUGGAAAGGGUGUGAGAAAACCUAUCGAUACUAUAUAGGCAAAUUUUGUUUCUUACGAAUGAAAGGAUUAAAAAUCGCCAAAAUAGAUGAUAUGCACGAAAAUCCUAAAAAGUUUACCCCCUCCUUCUCGGUAAAUAAUUAUCGAAAUAUAAAAAAGCCUAUAAAUGUCUAUUUAAUAGUAAAACACUUUGUCAAAGUUUCACUUAUAUUGAGAAAUUACGUUUCAUAUAUAUUUGAUGGAAAAACUGAUGUAGGUAUAGGUAUAUAGUAUUGUAUAGUUUAUAUAAUUACUGAUAUAAUAAUUAUAUUAUAUUAUGUAGCAUAUAGUAUUUCUUGUUGAAACGUCCUUAUUAACUUAUGCAUACUUAUGAUAUUUGGAAAGAAAAUUGUUAUAAAGAAGCGUUAUUUUUAAUAAUGGUCCAUUUUUAACCCAAAAUAAACAAAAAAUUUCUAAUGCUAAUUGAGAUUAGAAAAUUUACCAAAACCAAUUUUCAGCUUUUUGUAUUAAAUAUCUACUAUCGAUUUUAGUUAUUCUGAACAACUUUUCACUCAUUUUUAAAUAAAAAGAAUAUUUUUUAAAUCAAUUAAAAGUAACAAGUGGCAAAAUUAAACGAAUAAGUAAUUGGCAAGGAUUUUUCCGAGGAUUUUUCAAUCGGGUGCUGUAAAUAUUUUUACUUUUUUACGUUGUAUAUUAUAAUAAUCAAUCUUCCACUAAAAAGUUCAUUCAUAUCUUUAAUUUAACUCACUCGAAAUGCGGAAAUUUUAAAUAAUUCGACGACAUAAUUGAAUUCCAGCAAGGGAACAAACAAAACAAAAUUAAUAUCAUUCACGUGACAAUCAAUGAAGUAGGUACUCACUUGUGUGUUUGUAAAAUAUCUCGAGUUAAAGUCGAAGUAUGAUAUAUGGAUAAAAAGGAGAGUAUAUUGUAACUGACGAAAAUAUUUGUAUAACUUCCAUACCAUUAAAUAGAGCCCAAUAUUUUUAAGCGAAAUUCUUGUAAGUUAGUAUUAUAAAUCCGACUAGCAUAUCAAUAAAUACAAAUGUGACUAAUUAUUGUAUAAUAUUGUAAAUCAUUAAAUUGAAAAUAGAGAUGAAAUUUUGUUCCUCUCAAUUUGGAUUCCCGAAAGAAAAUACAACACUGUAUAAUGUAUAGAUCGAUGUAUU